UAAAUUUUCGAAACAUAUGUGUCAAAUGCUGAAGAACGUGUUGAGAACGAUCUAUGCCUAUAAGAAGACCGGAAAUUAAAAACUCUUACUCACUUCCUAAAUAUAUUUGCUUGGAUCCAUUUGAAGUGCUCGCAAUAGUCGGCUCUGAAAAUAGAUCGCAUGGUUUCUUGGGUUCCCACCCACCCAAAAGGCGUGUAGCCUCGGUAGGUGAUGGUUGAUGGUACGUUUCUUUAAGCUCAAGAUAAGGUGUCAAGUUUGGCUGUUAAGUUGAUUUUGAUGUCUGAGAUCAGAGCAGAAGAGGGUCUACUAGUGGCAUUGUGAACACGAGUUGCACUCUUUCCAUAUGACAUAUAGAUUGAGACUUGAAGGAUGGGCUUGAAGAGGAGUUUGAUGGAGUCUAAAGUCUGGUCUUUAGUCCAUCGUCUGAUGAAUUCCAUACACUGGGGUGGAGGCAAAAGAUGAGCAUGAUCUGUAAAUAAAGACCAUACCUUUGCUAAAUAAGAGCAGUUGAAGAGCAGGUGAUCACAAGUUUCAGAGGCAUCACUACACAAAAAGAAAUUUGUUGGAACCGUUAAACCCCAAGAUACCGUUCCAAAAGAUUGUUGUGUAAAUAUCCCUAAAUAGACAAGGUAUCUGACGAUGGUUCUAUGUCUCCUAUUUUCCAGAAACAGUAAUCCUCAGCCUCGUAGGAUUAUAUUUAUAUGUGUGUGGCUGAAGGCAGACACUAUUACUAAUGUAUGAGAGUGAUAAUGGUAACCACCAACUAUUGUUUGAGAUAGCUUCUGAUACGUGGAUUUUAGUGGCAGACUUGUAAGGCGAGGACCUCUCUCUAUCUCAGGUGAUUUCAAUAAAGGGUCCCAACAAAGUCCAGUUGUCAUGCCAAAAGCUCGCACUGAUAUCCGAUCUAACUUCACAAAUUAAAAAUUGCCUAGUCACUGAUCUAAACUUGAAUAGUUCUGACAUAUUCAACUCCCAUCCCUAUUAACCAGCACUUCCCAAAAAUUAUCGGUUCUAAUGAGAUUUCGACGCAUACAGGAGACCCAUAGAGAGCUUGUUAAUGUAAAGAUAAGCCAGAUACGUUUGACAAAUAAGACCUUAUUCCAAUCGUUCCAGUCCUUCAUCUAUAGUUUUUCUUAGGGUUACCCUUUUUCUUAUUGUUUGAACUUGACUAACUACUUAAUUUAUGAGCUUAGAUUUUUUCUCGCACCCAAAUGGUGUUCAAUGAAAUGUCUGAAAAUACUUAGAUGAGCAAAGUAACUUAACAGAGUUGAUGUUAGGGACCUUUGUGAACUUAUCAAAAUUUGUUCUUUAAUCCAUGUUUAACUAUUGAUAGACAUAGUGAUUGGGGCCACGAGGGUGUAAAGAUUAUAGAACUGGGUUUUGAGUUCUAGAAUGGUAUUUAAUUGAUUCUUUGAUAAGUUCCCCAACCCUUUUUAUUCAUAGAUUUACAUCGUUGAUUUGCUUUCUUGCCUUUAUUUCAAUCACAUUCAAAACCAAGAUAAUUUUAGUGUCUUCUAGCUUCAUUCGAACUUGAGAAUUGAAAUGUGUACCUGGUUUACGUGGAUUCUUUCCCGAUCUUAGCUAUUGUGGAUUGUUGUGUAUUUGCAGUACUGAAUUUAAGGUUAAGAUUCUGAGCUAUCAAGAAAGAAAACAAAUUUCUAAAAUCAUCCUGGUGACAAAAAAUCUUUACAAAAAAAAAAAAAAAAACUUAUUCUAUUUUAUUUGAUCUUUCUCUCUUUCGCAUUCACCUCUAGAAGUGAGGAUAAAAAAAUACAUGUGGUGACAAAAAAAGGAAGAUACAUAAUGUACCAAAUAAAUUAAAAUAAAGCAUAACUCCCAAAGAACUAUGAUUUGGUGAUGCCUCAAAAUCUGAAUCUUGGACAAAUCAAACCAUCGUACCCAAAUACUAACCAUACAUAAUUUCCUGUUUAUUAAAAAAAGAGUAUUAGUUAAAGACUGAAAAAAGGGUCACGAGACUCACAUAUUCACAAGCUUUGACAUCAGCCUCCCACCACAAGUACACACAUAUAUAUAGGUAUGCUCCCCUGUAUUCUCCAUUUUCAUCUUCUCUAAUAUCUCCAAGUCACACUUCAACAAGAUGGUGGUAAGGAUGAGAUUGGGUAAGAUUGUGGAAGACUUGAAGGUGAAGAUAAAGACAAGUCUAAGGAUGAGGAAGAGAUCAUCAUUAUCAUCAUCAUCAUCAUCUUCCUCUUCCUCAACUUCAUCAUCAUCAUCCUAUGAGAAGAUAGAGAAGAGUGACAGUAUGAGAUUUGAGUUAAGAAGCAGAAAGGCACAAAAAAUUAUCCAGCAAACUCUUCAAGUUGCCGACUCUCCCACCUCAAGAACUUAUGCUUUCUGAUUUCAUAUUUUUGCCAUCCAAAACAUAUUCAUACAUACAUAUGAAUUUGCGUGUACGCAUCUGUUUAUACAUAUCUAAAAUAUUGUAGGUACGUGUAUGUAUGGGUAAAAGGUUAUAUAUGGAUGAUGUAAUGUGAUGGAUCUCAUCUUGGCUAAUGGAUAAUUAUUAGGUGAGUUCAACAUUAAUGGUCAUUAAUAAGUGUCCUCACAGCACUAAUCAUUAAUAAUUGUCCUCACUAAUCUUUGGCUUAAGAAAAAUAUUUUUGUGGUUUCUAUUCUUCUUAAGAUUAAGAAAUUCCAUUUUGGAAUAUUUUAUAACGUUACCAUGGUAUUUGAAUAUCUUUAUAUUCUUAACCUUAUAGAAAAUACUAAAAUAAAGAAUAACAAUUUUUUUAUCAGCCAAGUUGACUUUCUCAGUUUUAUGUGUAAAUGAAAUUUCGAACCAGAUUUUGUGGGGAAAUCAUUGACCUUAUGAAAAUGUAAUAUUCAAAAUUUCAAACAAAAAAAUACUGUAUGUGAUGUUUUUGCCUACCUUGUUCCUUGUCGUCCAUUAUGACUUUUACGAUCCUCAUCUAUCACAAUUUUACAUUUUGUGAAAUUGUAUGAUAUGGUUUUGAAUUUUCUACUCGAAAGCUCCUACACGGAACAUAACCAGCCAAGACAUGCGAGAUUAUGUUUUGUCCAUGUGAGAUAGGGACAAUUAAACGGUAGAUUAUUUAGAACCUGAUUAUCUAUAUCCCCCCCCCCCCCCCCCCCCCCCCGCCCCUUGAACUGCAAAAUAUUUUAACAAUUAGUCACUGUAGCAAUGAUUAAAAAUAUACAUAAUAUGUUUUUUAAUAACCGAUUAGAAGCCAUCACAAAAAUGGUUUGGAACCACUUCAGAAAAAAGCCUUUACCAAUGGGAAAAGACAUUUAAACAGGAAAAAAGUUUCAUAACCUUAACAUCAAUUCACAUUAUUAUGUCCUUUUAUUAUUUGAUUUAUUUUUCUUUUUGAAUACCAAAAAGUUCAGAGUUAAAACAUGCUCAAUCUGAUCCAUAACUGAUGUUGCUUGUGCAGAAGCUAACUGGAGAACUUUUAAUAAUCUCUAAACCCGAAACUAUAACAUGUAAUAUUAGUUUCAUUUCAGCGGGAUUACCAUCGACUAAAGAAUCAUUGGUAAGUAAGUUCUCAAGGCUUUGAAACAGACGUAUUUUGAUUUGUUGUUCAACCAACAGUUUCCAAGUUCUUGUUACAAUUCUACCCAGUAUUUUUAUAUGGCAAAAUAUCACAGUCUAGAAAAAGUUUAUCGAGAUUUUUGUUUUAUAUUGUCAGUACAUCUUUUAUAUAUAUAUAUAUAUUGUCAGUACAUCUGGUGUUUUCCAAUCUAACAAACUUAAUUCCAAAAUGAAUAUUCAAAAUCAACUAAUUAGUUGAUAUACAAAACGCAACUGUUCAUAAAGUAUACAUUAUAAAUUAAUGCAUGUGAUAGUAACACCAACACAUAGAAGAUUAAGUUCAUGGAAAUCCACGUUGGUCCUAAGUUUGAUUCUACUUGUCCAAAUUGGGUUUCGAGUUAGUUGAAAGGUAUUCAAACUCGAAGUCAUGUAGCAUAGUGCACUUUUGGCUAAUCCAUUCUUUACCACUAAAUGCGUUUUAUAUCGGAACCUACCGGAUAACAGAUAGGAUUUUAAAAAAAAAGUUCAUAGAAAUCUAUAAUAGUAUUAUAUGAUUUUACGUAUGGUUUGUGCCUUUGUGUUUUAGAUUGAAGAGAACUGAAUCUCACAAUUAAGAAGUUUAUUUUCAUUUGUAAAAAUGUUGAUGUAUUCUUAAACACUUUGACAUAAGUGGUGUCGCUGUUUAAUUGACUCUUCAUAACCUAAAAAGAUGUUGAGACAUUAUAGAUGUUUCUUGAGUUAGGUGAAGAGACAUGCAUGCUAAUUAAUGCCCAUGCCUCUACAUUGCUGUAAACCAAAAAUUUAAAUACCAAAUCCUCUUCUCCUUAGUUUAAUUUUUCAGUUGUAAAGUACUAGAUAUGAAUAGAGUUGAACAUCAAUACAGUUACAAUAUUAUAGUUCCAUUUUACAUAUAUGCCCGUGAGUGGGGGAUUUCAUUAAGAAUGUACCAAAAUAUUCGGUAUAUCUAUAAGCCGUUCUAAUCGGUUAAAAAUAGAAUAUAUUAGAAAUUUAUAUUUGGACUUAAAAAAUAUAUAUUAAUCAAUACAACCUGAAUCUGAAUAUUUUGAAUGUAUUGAUACUUUUAGGUGCGUAUGGAUAACAAAUUGAUUCUUAUUUCUCUUAUAAAAUAUUUAGAGUUCUGUUUUUACGAGAAAAAGUUAGUAUGUAGUUUCAUUUCUGUUUAUUUUGUAUUUUAACCUAGUAUUUUAACCUUUUGUAUUUACUUUAGGUAGACUUCAUAAUCUGGAUAACCAAAAAUAACAGUAUGGUUUUUGUACAUGUAUUUUAUCUGAGAUUCACGAAUUAGUCCGAAUAGUUGUUAUUCAAUUAUGACAUAAACGAUUCAAAUCUAUAUUUUUUAAACUGCUCAUCUCUAAUUUCAAUUUUCAACAGUAGUUAAUUACCAUCUCUUUAUAUUUUGAAAGAAACGUAUUAAAUAGUAUUAUAUGAAGAUGCAGAGUAUCCAUAUAUGAUAUAUAGAAGUUCUUGGAGUUGAAGAAGGUAGGAGAUUGAGGCCAGACACUAUAAGAGGACAAGAAAUAGAGAAUAAAAUUACACUGCACAAUCAUCCAAUAGUAUGAGGACAACAAGCAUUUCUCAGCGACAAAAACAGACACCGUGUGAUGACAAAAUAAUAUACCUUAGAUGCUAGUUAACAAAACCCAAAACAACUUCUACAAUUGGGAAAGAAGACAACAUAUGUAUAUAUAUAUAUGAAUUAAGAAGAAAUAGGAAACUGCUAGACAGAUAUGUAAAUGAACUUUCAAUGAUAUCAUCCAGCUAAAGUUUGGCCACAUGAUAUGUUUUCCAUACAAUUCACAAGUUGUGUGGGAGAAAGAGAGAAUGAAUUAUGCUACAUGUCUUUCGUUCUCCUCUGAUGAAUAGCACAUCUAAUCUUUUUUAAGUUGCUUGACACUCAACAUGUUGUUUAUAAAUAUACACAUCGUUCACAACAUAGCUUUUUCCCUUCAACAUAAUUUAACACACCUUUCCCAUUAAACCAUCAGUUUGCGAUUAUGCUCAAGCUUGACAAGUGAAAGUAGUUUCCAAACUUGAGAACAUACCUUGGUUUCCACACAUCAUGCAGAGUCUACAAACCAUGCAUCACCUCUCAUUGUUAUUUGAAGUUCUACUUGUGGUAUUACCAUAACUUCGUCUUUCUCUUCUAUCUCUGCAAAGUGUGCUUGGUUGUUUGCAUUUGGGCAUUCAUACUGAAAAUGCCACAAAUUGUGAUAUUUAUAACACUCAGUCACCGCCUUUUUUAAAGAGCGUCCUCUAUUCAUAACUCGUCGUCAGCAAGAUCAUCUAUCCCUGCCUUUGACAUUGGGAGCUUGAUCAUCUUCUUCACAACUGGACUUUUUUUCUCAUGGACACACAAAGAACUUUGAAACUCAUUGAUAGUCAUGCAUCUUGGAUUUUUCGUUUCUUUAAUGGACACCAUUACAUAUGUGAUUUUUUAGUUAGUGUUCAAAGGAUCUUCUCAACAGUCUUUAAGUCUGCCAUGUCUUCCCCCGUUGCUCCUCGUUUUGUUGGAGUGGUCAUUAGUCUUCCAAAAUAAUCGUCAAUAUUCUCAUCCACACUCAUUGGGAGAAGUCUCUUUUUAGAGUUUGAAGAAGAGACUGAUUCACCCUCUCAUUUCCUCCAAACUUUCUCUUUAUUGCAUCUCAAGUGAUUUUGGAUAUUAUAAUCCAAAAUAUUCUCACACUUAACCCAGCCGAUAAGUUGUUUGGAAGAUACAGGUGCUUCAUAUGAUGAUCAUUUAUCUCGAUAUCCUCCAAAUAUUUCAGCAGCGUAGCAGCCACUUUGACUCCCUCAUUGUGUCAGUGUAACCAGACUCCAUAAUCCGUUAGCUGAGAAAUGAUUUUCGAUCAGUUCAAUCCAAGUUACCGUAGUGUGGCCAUCAAAGUGAGAAUUUUUUUUGCUUUUACGUUGAUAUCAAAUGUACAUGUUAGUUCAUAGAUACAAAAAUUGCAUAGGAAUGAUCAACUUUGUUUAGUGUCUUUCAAUGUUUUUCAUAGUGCUUACAACGAAUGAACUUAACGAAAAUAAAGGACCGAAACACCACUAACUCAAGUAACAACUAGUAAAUCUAUAACAUAAAUUGUCUCAUUCUAAAUCCAUACGACUGUCUCUUAUUCCUAAAAUGAUUAAAAAUUCUUGAUAGAAUUUGAUUUGGUUUGGUUAAACAUUUAGGUUCAGUUUGGUAUUUGAUCAAUUUACACACAAAUUCCAUUUGGUUCCAAUUAGGCUUGUGCGUUCGGUGGACCGUUCGGUUUCGGUCCGGAUAAUUCGGAUUUUCGGAUUUUCGGUGUUAUACUCAGAAGUACCAUUCGGGUUUUACUAAUUAUCGGAUCGGUUUCGGUUCGGUUCCUUUCGGGUUUGGUUCGGAUCGGAUGUAACCAAUGUUUAAAAUCGUCCAAAAAUAUAUUUUUUAAACCGUAAAAAUUGACAAUCUUUUU